rnacentral:RNase_P_RNA from 1 species
CCCGGGCGGUCGUCGGCGGCAUUCAUGCCGCGGGAGGAAAGUCCGGACUCCAGAGGGCGCCGUAGGAGGUAACACCUCUCCGCCGCAAGGCGCGGAUCAGAGCAACAGAGACGAGCCGGCUUCGGGCCGGGUGAAACGGGCAAUCUCUACGGGGAGCAACAUCAAAUAGGCAGCCGAUGGACCGGCCCGGUCCGGCUGCGGGUAGAUGGCUUGAGGCGGCGCGCGAGCGUCGUCCUAGACGAAUGGCCGCCGGCAGGGCUUUCGGGCCUUUGCCGACAGAAUCCGGCUUACACGGGAGCU